rnacentral:rRNA from 1 species
AAUAGAUACCCCGGUAGUCCACGCCGUAAACGAUGAAUGCUAAGUGUUAGAGGGUUUCCGCCCUUUAGUGCUGCAGCUAACGCAUUAAGCACUCCGCCUGGGGAGUACGGCCGCAAGGCUGAAACUCAAAGGAAUUGACGGGGGCCCGCACAAGCGGUGGAGCAUGUGGUUUAAUUCGAAGCAACGCGAAGAACCUUACCAGGUCUUGACAUCCUCUGCCAACCCUAGAGAUAGGGCGUUCCCCUUCGGGGGACAGAGUGACAGGUGGUGCAUGGUUGUCGUCAGCUCGUGUCGUGAGAUGUUGGGUUAAGUCCCGCAACGAGCGCAACCCUUGAUCUUAGUUGCCAGCAUUCAGUUGGGCACUCUAAGGUGACUGCCGGUGACAAACCGGAGGAAGGUGGGGAUGACGUCAAAUCAUCAUGCCCCUUAUGACCUGGGCUACACACGUGCUACAAUGGAUGGUACAAAGAGCUGCGAACCCGCGAGGGUAAGCGAAUCUCAUAAAGCCAUUCUCAGUUCGGAUUGUAGG